rnacentral:rRNA from 1 species
GAUUCGCCAUGCAUGUCUAAGUACAUGCCGUAUUAAGGCGAAACCGCGAAUGGCUCAUUAAAUCAGUCAUGGUUCCUUGGAUCGUACCUUACUACUUGGAUAACUGUGGCAAUUCUAGAGCUAAUACAUGCAGCAGAGCUCCGACCUUCGGGGACGAGCGCUUUUAUUAGACCAAAACCAAUCGGACCUCGUGUCCGUCCUUUGUGGUGACUCUGUAUAACUUUGGGCUGAUCGCACGGGCCUGUCCCGGCGACGUAUCUUUCAAGUGUCUGCCUUAUCAACUUUCGAUGGUAGGUUACGCGCCUACCAUGGUCGUAACGGGUAACGGGGAAUCAGGGUUCGAUUCCGGAGAGGGAGCCUGAGAAACGGCUACCACAUCCAAGGAAGGCAGCAGGCGCGCAAAUUACCCACUCCCAGAACGGGGAGGUAGUGACGAAAAAUAACAAUACGGGACUCUUUUGAGACCCCGUAAUUGGAAUGAGUACACUCUAAAUCCUUUAACGAGGAUCCAUUGGAGGGUAAGUCUGGUGCCAGCAACCGCGGUAAUUCCAGCUCCAAUAGCGUAUAUUAAAGUUGUUGCGGUUAAAAAGCUCGUAGUUGGAUCUCAGUUCCAGACGGGUGGUCCGCCUACCGGUGGUUACUGCCUGUUCUGAACAGUCAGCCGGUUUCUCUUGAUGAUCUUCACCGGUUGUCUUGGGUGACCGGCAAGUUUACUUUGAAAAAAUUAGAGUGCUCAAAGCAGGCGUGACGCCUGAAUAAUGGUGCAUGGAAUAAUGGAAUAGGACCUCGGUUCUAUUUUGUUGGUUUUCGGAACACGAGGUAAUGAUUAAGAGGGACAGACGGGGGCAUUCGUAUUGCGACGCUAGAGGUGAAAUUCUUGGACCGUCGCAAGACGAACUACUGCGAAAGCAUUUGCCAAGAAUGUUUCCAUUAAUCAAGAACGAAAGUUAGAGGUUCGAA